GAUCCUGGCUUAGGACGAACGCUGGCGGCGUGCCUAACACAUGCAAGUCGAGCGGGAGACACCUUCGGGUGUCUUCUAGCGGCGGACGGGUGAGUAACGCGUGAGCAACCUUUCCUUCACAGGGGGAUAACGCAGCGAAAGUUGUGCUAAUACCGCAUGAGACCACAGGACUACAUGGUUCAGGGGUCAAAGGAGCAAUCCGGUGAAGGGUGGGCUCGCGUCUGAUUAGCUAGUUGGCGGGGUAACGGCCCACCAAGGCGACGAUCAGUAGCCGACCUGAGAGGGUGAUCGGCCACACUGGGACUGAGACACGGCCCAGACUCCUACGGGAGGCAGCAGUGGGGAAUAUUGGGCAAUACGGGGGAAACCCUGACCCAGCAACGCCGCGUGAGGGAAGAAGGUCUUCGGAUCGUAAACCUCUGUCCUUGGUGAAGAGCAGAAGACGGUAGCCAAGGAGGAACGCCCCGGCUAACUACGUGCCAGCCGCCGC
rnacentral:rRNA from 1 species